AUGAAUUUAUCAGGUACUCGGUUUGCUGACCAAGACACUCAUAAUGCUUCUACUACUAAGUAUAUUAAUGUUAAUAUGUUUGUUUCAUCUCAACUCACCAGGGUCCAUUACAUAGCUGGAAACAAGAUCAAAUCGUGUAAGGUUCAAAUUGAUUGGACAGAAAAAGAUUGGAUUUGCUUGUUUUGGAAAGAUUUGGUACAAGGAUCAAAUCAUGAAUCA